CAGUAGCCGCGGUAAUACGUAGGUGGCAAGCGUUGUCCGGAAUUAUUGGGCGUAAAGCGCGCGCAGGCGGAUCAGUCAGUCUGUCUUAAAAGUUCGGGGCUUAACCCCGUGAGGGGAUGGAAACUGCUGAUCUAGAGUAUCGGAGAGGAAAGUGGAAUUCCUAGUGUAGCGGUGAAAUGCGUAGAUAUUAGGAAGAACACCAGUGGCGAAGGCGACUUUCUGGACGAAAACUGACGCUGAGGCGCGAAAGCCAGGGGAGCGAACGGGAUUAGAGACCCCAGUAGUCCCUGUCUCUUAUACC
rnacentral:rRNA from 1 species